UACAGAGGUCUCGAGCGUUAGGCGGAAUCACUGGGCUUAAAGCGUGUGUAGGCGGGUCGUUAAGUGCCUUGUGAAAUCCCAUGGCUCAACCAUGGAACUGCUGGGCAUACUGGCGAUCUUGUGCCACCUAGGGGCGAGCGGAACAGAUGGUGGAGCGGUGAAAUGCGUAGAUAUCAUCUGGAACGCCAAUGGUGAAAACAGCUCGCUGGGGGUGUGCAGACGCUGAGACACGAAAGCCAGGGGAGCAAACGGG
rnacentral:rRNA from 1 species